AUUGAACGCUGGCGGCAUGCUUUACACAUGCAAGUCGAACGGUAACAGGUUAAGCUGACGAGUGGCGAACGGGUGAGUAAUGCAUCGGAACGUGCCCGGUCGUGGGGGAUAACGCAGCGAAAGCUGCGCUAAUACCGCAUACGAUCUGAGGAUGAAAGCGGGGGACCGUAAGGCCUCGCGCGAUCGGAGCGGCCGAUGUCAGAUUAGGUAGUUGGUGGGGUAAAGGCCUACCAAGCCGACGAUCUGUAGCUGGUCUGAGAGGACGACCAGCCACACUGGGCCUGAGACACGGCCCAGACUCCUACGGGAGGCAGCAGUGGGGAAUUUUGGACAAUGGGCGCAAGCCUGAUCCAGCAAUGCCGCGUGCAGGAAGAAGGCCUUCGGGUUGUAAACUGCUUUUGUACGGAGCGAAAAGGCUCUCUCUAAUACAGGGGGUUCAUGACGGUACCGUAAGAAUAAGCACCGGCUAACUACGUGCCAGCCGCCGCGGUAAAAC
rnacentral:rRNA from 1 species